CAGAUUGCAGGCUGCAACUCGCCUGCAUGAAGUCGGAAUUGCUAGUAAUCGUAGGUCAGCAUACUACGGUGAAUACGUUCCCGGGCCUUGUACACACCGCCCGUCAAAACCAUGAGAGUUGGCAACACCCGAAGUCGGUAGUCUAACCGCAAGGAGGACGCCGCCGAAGGUGGGGGUUGAUGAUUAGGGUUAAGUCGUAACAAGGUAAC
rnacentral:rRNA from 1 species